GAGAGAGAGAGAGAGAGAGAGAGAGAGAGUUGGUUCAGACAAAGAAAUUAAGAAAAUUUGUGAAGGAUAACAGAAUCUAUGGGAGUUCAAUGUUAAUCUCUUCCUCUGGGAUGCUGGAAUUGAAUCUAGACCCUGCUACAAGCCAGCAAGCAUCCUAACUACUUAGUUACACCCCCUAGCCCACUGCAGAUCUCUUGAGUUGCUUUUCCCGGUUGUACAUGCUAGUCCUGUGUUUUUGUAAUUCAUUUGAAUGAGUGGGCAGCUAGUCAAAAUCAGCACUUUAUGUGCAAAUGACCGAGAAGCAUCCAUGUGUAGGUCAAAGUGUCACUGAGGAUAAUCUUGUGUAUGUUGUCUUAGGUCUGGUGAGAUCUCAGGGCAGUUUUAAGUUUGCAAAAUGACAGAACUGAGGUUCAAGGAAAAAAGAAAAAGAGAAAAAGGUGUCUUUCUUUUGGCACUCAGCCAGGUCCUGAAAGCUGUCAUUCAAGCUCUCAUUUUGUGAUUUCCAGACCAGUGAUCUCCCUAAUAGAUCAUUCCUUGCUUUCUCAGCCACACACUCUUCCCCAGAACGUCUGCCUUAAAAGGGAAAAAAGGUAGAUGUGGAAGUUUUCAUACCUGUAUAUAAAAUAUUAAGAGUAAUGAUUGAGACAGAUAUUGUGAUUAAAAUUCAAGUGUAAAAAUGGAACCUUUUAUGUUUUUUGCAACUCGUGAAACUGUCAAUUGGAAUAUUUUACAAGUGGCAUGAGAGGGUAUCCCAACAUCUUUUAAGUCCUUAGGUUAACUAGUGCUCUCUUACAAUGUUCUUAUAUGUAUCAUCGUGUUACCGUUUUGAAACUUGCUGAGUUCCAUUGCAAACAUCCUGUAGACUCAUGCUAUAGAGUUGGGCAGUACUCUAUGAAUUUUGCAUAAGGUUUGAUUUGCCUUCAUCAACCCAUCCUGAAGGGACCCCACUGACAACCUUGACUAGUUUCUUAGACAUAUGUAUGAUAAAUAAAUGGCUUUUCUUGAAUAUUUAAAAAUGCUUUGUUAGUGAGCACCUGUUAAAUACAGCUUUUAUUUGUGUCCAUUUAAGAACACAUGGAUACAUUGUGUUUAAUGAGCUCUUUGCCCAUUAAAUAAAUAGCAUUCCAGUAAAGACAGAAGUAAAAUAUUCUGGCACUUUAGAGUUCCCAAUGAUAUUCAAUUGUGAAACUGGAGAACACAGUCCUUCCUAUAAGCUCUGUUAAUUACCAAACAGAAUUUAGUUAGAAUGAAUUAAUUUUAAUCUCUCUCUGUGGUGAGGAAUUUAGAUUGUGAAGUACCCAAAGGAAUUCAUUAUGAGGCAGUUUUGCUUGUAAGCAAGGCAUCAAUCUACCUAUUUUGCUUUUGAGCAAGAUUCAAACUUAUGGGUAAAAGAUUCCCUUGGGUUAAGGCAGAUGUCUUGAGAAGUUUCAUUAAUAACUAUUUAGAGUAACUGUUUAUGAUUCAUGAGCUACGCACACUUAUUUUCCUGUGGCUCACUAGACCAUCUGUAAACUGGCCUGACACAGGACUUCAAAAGAAUAAAUGCAUAGAAAAAAAAUUCUAAGUUAGAAUUCUGUUCUUUUUUAAGUUGAAAUCUGUGCUGUUUUCAGAGUCAAUCAAGUGUCUUUUAUUUUAAGGUUUUCUUUUCUUGGAGAUCUAAACAUUGAUUGUACAUUAAUUUCAGCAUAUUGAUUUUAACAUAUGGAAGACAAAUAUUUCUGUUAUUUCAUAUGUAUUUCUGGAAUAUUUGGCCAUAUUAUUUUAAGUCAAAUGCAUGAAUCUCUGGGAAGCAGAGACCAAAAAAGUAGUAAAAUAAUGUUAUGUAACACAAAUUUCCUGACUUCUCAGUAACAGCCGCAUGAUUUAAAGUAUGGACAGCAUGUCUUUAAUCCUGAGUGUGCUAUGUAUCUUAUAAAUUUAAACAACACAAAUGUGAAUUUUAAAAGAGUAAUUAUACAAUCCACUCUUUACAUAUCAUCCAUAGUAUAUUUUAGCAUGUCUUUCAUAAAUCUACCCACUUGCGUACAUAUGUACACAUACAUGUACCUUUUGUAUUGGGAACACUGAGAUCAAGUUAUGUGUAUUGUAUAGGAGCCAGUUUUCUUGAUCUUGCCUGUGUAUAACCAUGUAGAAAUACUAAAUAGUGUUUGAUAUCCAUUCAUUAUUCAGGUGUCCACUCAAGAAUAAUUUCUUUGUUGAUUGACAUUGAAGCUGUUCUCAGUAUCUUUUCAGGUGAAAUUGUGCUUCCCGGCUCAGUGGUUAAGAACAUUUGCUGUGACUUGAGUUCUCAUCAGAGCCAUCAGGCACUCACAACCACCUGGAAUGCCAGAGCCAGAGAGUUGUCCAUGAAAAAAACUCAGAGUUUUUUCUGUGUAUAGUGUAAGAACUCAACCACCAUUUGUUCUUAGCACUUUGACCAGUUAUGUGUCAACUGCAUUAUCUGUUGACAUGGCAGAGAGAAACCUUUGGCUAAGGUUGAAAGUGGCAUUAAUGUAUGGGUAUAACUACAGUUUGAAAACAUGCCCAUUUAGUGACCAAGUAGUAGCAGGUUUCCCUUUAGAGACUAUAACCUCUCAAGUGGUAGACUGACUUUGGACUAGUUUAUAGUGUCAGAUGUUCAUUUCCUUCUGUGCAACAGGCCUCAGGUCCAACCAGAAAGUGGUUGGUUACUCAUAUAAAAUCUUCAUGCCACUAUUGUGCCAGUGGGCAUAUCUGUCUGGUGGGUCACUACCAUAACAUUUGGUGUUAACUACUGGGUACUAGCUCUGAUGACUUUUCUCCCCCAGUGGCCUGAAUGACCCCUUCUAACAUUGUGAGCUAGAAAAGAAGUUUUCAAGUCAGUUCCAGCUUGAUUUUUCUAGCUCUUGAAACUGACACAGAGACAUGUAAUGUCUUUAGCAACAGGGUCUUCCCAACUAGUUAGGAUGGGCAAUCAGGAACAAUGACCAUAACCAGGUUUGUUGGGGCAGAGACUUGGGGCUCUGGGGCCUCUGUAACUAAUCACUUGUAAGGAGAUAUUCCAUGCCUACUAUUGAGAUUUUUAUUUUAUUAACCUUGUCUUGUGGGGAAAUAUUAUCCAUCAUGGAGGAUAUCUGUGUCCAAACACUUUCUAUUUUUUUUAUUUGGUUUAGUAGUACUGGUCGUAUAUACCAGAACUGUAUUGAUAGACAAACAAUAACAUAUUUUAAAAACAUGAAAAAUAAGUCAAUGUGGGUUGUAUGUGUAUGUGUGUGUGUGUGUGUGUGUUGUUUUGAGACAGGAUCUCAUGUGGUUCAGGCUGGCUGUAAACUCAAUAAAUAGUUGAGGCUAACCCUGAUCUCCUGGUCCACUUUCUUCCCUUUCUCCCUUUAUAAAUAUAAUUUAAAACUUUAUGUUUUUAUUUUUUCCCUUUUAUUGAAAAUAGAUUCCUUUCUUUUACAAUAUAUUGUGAUUACAGUUUGCCCUUCCUCUACUCCUCUUCAGUUUUUCUGUUCUUUAGAAUAUUAUUUUGUAUAUUUAUUUAGCUUAAUUAUACUAUAUAUUAAAUUAAUACAUAAUUAUAUAAAAUAUAUAAAUUAAACAUAUGUAAUUACAUAUAGAUUAAUAUAUCUAAAUUGAAUAUAUAUACUUAAUUAGCUUACAAAGUAGUGGGUUUCCAUAGGGUCAUUUAUACAUCCUGAAUUUUGGCGAGCCCCGCUCCCACUCUCUUCUAUUCCUUGUCCUCCUCUUCUCCCAUACCCACUUAGACCUUUACAGUUCCAGUAUUGACCUUUACUUUCAGGCCACAUGUGUCCCACUCCCAUCUCUUUCCUUAAGACCCUUCUCUGCCUCCACAUGUCCUCAGCAGGUCAUGUGCCUUGACCUCUCCAGAUAACUCAAAUUAACCAUAUAUAAAACUUCAAAGCAGGGAUAUACAUAUGAAGGGGGAUAUACUGGGUUCAUCUUCAUGAACCUGGUUUUCUAACUUCCUAUAAAUUCUUCUGGUUCCACUUCUUGCCUUGCAAAUUUUAUUUUUCAAUAUAGCAAAAUUUAAUUCCACUGUGGAUAUGUACCAUACUGUCAUUAUCCAUUCUUGGGUUGAUGGACAGCUAGGCUGAUUACAUUUCUUGGCUAUGGUGAAGCAUCAUUCUUAACUUUGGAAUUUCUAAAUUCCAAAAUAUGCGAUUUUUUUUUGGGGGGGGGACUUCAAAUUUCAGAGCUUUUGUAUAUGGUGCUUGGGAACAGCAUACUCUACUAGAAAUUUGUGGAAGAUAACUUUCCUUUCAAUUUUGAGGUAUACUCUCAGUGUCUUUUUUUUCUCAUUAUGGUUGAGCAGGUAGAUGAAAAUAGAACUUCAUUAUGAUUUUGUUUUCUGUAUUUUAAAAUUAUCAGUGAGGCUGAACAAUAAUUCAUGUGUUUAAUAACUGCUUAUAUUAUCUCUCUUAUUACUAUGCAUCUUCCAUUUCUUCCCAAUUUGAUUCUCAGAUUUUGCUUCCUGAGUUGAGUGAACUCUUCACAUUUAAAGCUAUUAAUUGUUCAUCAGUAAUAUCAAUAACAAACCUACUCCCUAGUAGUGCUUGUCAUUUGUCAUUUGGAUUCUGGGUCAUUUUGCAGUGAGCUAACUUUGUGUAGUACAGUUAAUCAUGAAAUUUGGGCGGUUGUCAUUUUCUCUUCUGUAUUGUUUUAAAAAAAUCACUUUAUCUUAUUAAUAUUCUGUGCCUUAUUUUUCAUCUUUGAAUUGCAUAUAUCUGAAAAUUGUUUCAUUUUUCAAUAUCACGUUUCAAAUCUACUUGUGUGUUUUAGCAUUCACUUGGCAGAUUUGAAGAUAUCAACCACCCCAUUAGUCCUUAGUUCCUGUUUGCAUGUUUCUAGCAUUAUUUCAUGACCCAUUUGAGCAUGAGGUAAUUCCUUGAUAUAAUUGUGGCUUCUAGGGUCAGAUGGACAUGGUGUUUAAGUCGUCAUUCAGCUAUUUACCAAAUGGGACACCCCAGAAAGUAUUGGUGGGUUCUGAUGAUCAUAUUGUGGUAAUGCUUUCGCAUACGCUGUCCAUGUUGGAUAUUGCCAUUGUUUUCAGUGCUAUUAUUGUCGUCAUCUAAUCUGGUGGAGUUGUGCUGAUCCCAGUGAACUUUGUAACGUGUUAGCACCUAAGGUGCUGCUUCCGCAGAAGCUGUUUCCAAAGCCUGAGACUUUAGUGCUGCAUAAGAUAAAAUAUAGGGUUUAUUAUUUCACAGUAGUAUCCCUUGAUGCUGUUUAUGUUUCAUGCACAGAUUUUUGGGAACCAUGAAAAUUCCACUCAUUUAACUAUAAGGUUUAACCAUGGAUCAGCAGGCCUGGUAGAUAACUGGUAUAUAAAUCAAAGAACAGGGAUGAAAACCUUCUUGGUAAUUCAUAGUGUUUAUAAGUUUUAUAAGGAAAGCAUCACCAGAUAGUUCACAAUUUAGAAUUUCUGUAACUAUAUGUCACAAAGUAAAGCGAAAAAAACCACUAGCCACCUGCUCACAUACAAAAAAGUUAAUAACUGCAACAGCUAAGGAGUUUAUAAACAUUAAGAUGAAAAAGAUAAUUCACAGCCAGCAAAAGUAUGAGAAAGAUUCAAAUGCAAAUUAAAACAUUAAAAAUAUUUAUAAUAGCCAAGAUCUGGGGAAAUAACAACGUGUUAUUCACACUUUGUAGGUAGAAUUCAGUGUGAUAGUACCUAAAAAUUUAGACUUUAUGUAUGCUUUGGAUCAGCAAAUGUCACAUAGAGAUAUUUCUUCUACAUAGCAAUGCAUGCGCACUAAGCUAUCUGAUAAGGAAAGGAGCUACUAUAUUAUGAAGAAGUGGAAACAGAUGGAGUUCUGCAAGUACAAUAAGCUUGCUACCUAGUGUUACAUAAUGAUUAAAAAUCCCUUGGCCAAGAUUGACAUGGAGAGUUCCUACAGACAUUAUUGUAAGUGGAAGCAAGGUCCAUGUGUGAAGAGGAAGCUUCCAGACAAAAGCACAGAUACACACACACACACACACACACACACACACACACACACACACACACACAACCAUGUUGGAAGAGGUCCGGGAAAAUGCGAUGCUAAGUAGGCUGAUUGAACCCUGGUAACUGUUUCUUCCACAAUGUAUUUAGAGCUACAGAAUAUACAGAGCACCGACUUUGUGGACUUGUGUUUUAAAACCUGAGUGUGGUGUUUCCGAGAAGUAGUAAGGCAUCUUCAGGGUAGGGGAAUUGAAGCAGGUGGGGAAGGGGUUUGUUUCCUUUUCAUCCCCUGCACCGCUUUGAGGUUCAAACGGCUUAUAAAUGUGUUCAUGUAACUGAAACUCAACGAAACACGAUAACAUUAGUUAUUAUUGCACAGUAGUAUUUCUUGUGAAGUGUAACAGAAUGGUCACUUCUGAAAUCUUGCCCAGGAUAAUUGACUUUUUACAGAGUACAACUGGAGAGCCAAUUAUAAGAUCAUGGCUUCUAUGAUUCACAGUAUAGUGUCGGACUCUUCAGAACCACAGCACACAGGACCGGCUCUGCAUCAGCACAUGUUUUAAGAUGAUGCCUAAAUCCUCAUUAGAGUGGGAGCUCUGGGGUGUAAUGAGGUGAUUUUGCUGACAAACUACACCUUGUUCCAUCACACUAAAUUUCACACUGCAGAGAAUACUGUCAAGUCCUGGGAUAGAUUGUCUCUCUCUGCUGGUAUCCCAUUGAACUUUUGCUCUUUAACAUAUAAGAAAAGCUGUGGCAGGAUGAAGCCUCCUGCUAUCAUUAAUUGUGAAACUGACUUAGAGCUGGUUGGCAAGGCUGUUGAACAAGGGCAUCGUUAAUCUCUCUUGAAUUUUCCUGAGAAAUAGAUGGAUGCCCUCAUACCAUUGAAUUUUCUGCCUCCAAGACUGGCCUUUUGGGUCUGUCAUUUGUUUUCUGCUUCUGACAGAGAUCUGUGUAAGGAGAACAACACCGAGAAUGCAAAGGUUGGCCUCAGCGAGCUGCAGCAGAGGCAGCUGGGAGUACGGAAGACUUGGGACACAUACCAGACUGAUGGCACACCAUCCAAAGAAGGCAGCUGCUGUUGGUUUUCAUCCAUGUUCGAGUGGAGGCCAAGAGUUUUUUAGUUUUUACUGGUGCCUACUGUCAACCUAUACCCAUGCACAUCCUGUUUGCUCUGGGGUCACCCACCUCUCAACUGCUCUGUAAGAGUUGAUCUACAUUCAAAAUGGUCCAUCUAUUUGAGUGCUAUGGAUUGUUGGGCCUAACUCAGCCAAACAUCUAUGGCCUAAAGGAAAGACCUAAGGCUGGCUCAAGUCCGGAUACCUGCCUCGCUCGCUUCUGUACUAGAGUGACUAAGCACGACCUCCUUAAGCCAACCUUUGCCUAGCUACCGCUGAUGUAGAAUAACUUCAUUGGCUCUGCCAGUCACCCCAUGCCCUCCAUCACCCUUCCCCACCUCCUACCUCAUCUCAUCCCCCCCAAAUCCCCCCU